rnacentral:rRNA from 1 species
AUGCGUGUCAGAUGUGACUGCAGGACACAUGAACACCGACAAGUUGAACGCAUAUUGCCCAUCGUACAACAGUACGAUGGACACAUUUUUGAGUGCCUAUAUUUAUAGAUUCAACCCGCUGCUUGCGCGCUGCUAUGACGCUUUACCAGCCAAACCUAGUGCGGCUGCUAAUCGUUUAAAUCUGUGUUAAGCCUUACCAUCACACAUGCGUGUAUGGUUGGGGCGCGACGCCGGUACAUCCUCCCACACUCCAGCCUGGCUUGGAUGCGAUGCGAUGGCCCACCGCUCGUCGACCCCUGGCGGCACACCACCACCACUGCACACUGCUGCACACACCAUGUAUCUUAAGUAGGCCUCAAAUAAUGUGUGACUACCCCCUAA